rnacentral:rRNA from 1 species
CUACGGGAGGCUCCAGUUAGGAAUAUUCUUCAAUGCGCGAAAGCGUGAAAGAUUGAACCAGAGUGUCCCACAAUUGUGGGACUUUUGCCAAAUGUAAAAAGUUUGGCGAAUAAGGACUGGGUAAGACGAGUGCCAGCCGCCGCGGUAAUACUCGCGGUCCAAGUCGCAGCCACAUUUAUUAGGUCUAAAACAUCCGUAGCUUGCUCGGUAAGCUCCUUGUGAAAUCCUGCAUCUCAAGUGCAGGGCGUGCAAGAAAUACUGCCGGGCUAGAGACUGGGAGACGUAAUCAGUACGGGUAAAGUAACGGUAAAAUGUGUUAAUCUUACCCGGACUCACAAUAGCGAAGGCAGGUUACGAGAACAGUUCUGACAGUAAGGGAUGAAGGCUCGGGGCGCAAAACGGAUUAGAUACCCGAGUAGUC